rnacentral:rRNA from 1 species
AAUGACAUCUCCUUAAUCGGAGAGUUCCCUUCGGGGACAUUGGUGACAGGUGGUGCAUGGUUGUCGUCAGCUCGUGUCGUGAGAUGUUGGGUUAAGUCCCGCAACGGGCGCAACCCUUGUCUUUAGUUGCCAUCAUUAAGUUGGGCACUCUAGAGAGACUGCCAGGGAUAACCUGGAGGAAGGUGGGGAUGACGUCAAAUCAUCAUGCCCCUUAUGCUUAGGGCUACACACGUGCUACAAUGGGUAGUACAGAGGGUUGCCAAGCCGUAAGGUGGAGCUAAUCCCUUAAAGCUACUCUCAGUUCGGAUUGUAGGCUGAAACUCGCCUACAUGAAGCUGGAGUUACUAGUAAUCGCAGAUCAGAAUGCUGCGGUGAAUGCGUUCCC